UACAGAGGUCUCAAGCGUUGUUCGGAUUCAUUGGGCGUGAAGGGUGCGUAGGUGGCGUCGUAAGUGGGGUGUGAAAUCCCGGGGCUUAACCCCGGGACUGCAUUCCAUACUGCGGUGCUUGAGGACUGGAGAGGAGACUGGAAUUUACGGUGUAGCAGUGAAAUGCGUAGAGAUCGUAAGGAAGACCAGUGGCGAAGGCGGGUCUCUGGACAGUUCCUGACACUGAGGCACGAAGGCCAGGGGAGCAAACGGG
rnacentral:rRNA from 1 species